rnacentral:rRNA from 1 species
AACGAACGCUGGCGGCAGGCUUAACACAUGCAAGUCGAACGCCCCGCAAGGGGAGUGGCAGACGGGUGAGUAACGCGUGGGAAUCUACCCAGUUCUUCGGAACAACACAGGGAAACUUGUGCUAAUACCGGAUACGCCCUACGGGGGAAAGAUUUAUCGGGAUUGGAUGAGCCCGCGUUGGAUUAGCUAGUUGGUGAGGUAACGGCUCACCAAGGCGACGAUCCAUAGCUGGUCUGAGAGGAUGAUCAGCCACACUGGGACUGAGACACGGCCCAGACUCCUACGGGAGGCAGCAGUGGGGAAUAUUGGACAAUGGGCGCAAGCCUGAUCCAGCCAUGCCGCGUGAGUGAUGAAGGCCUUAGGGUUGUAAAGCUCUUUCAGUGGGGACGAUAAUGACGGUACCCACAGAAGAAGCCCCGGCUAACUACGUGCCAGCCGCCGCAGUAAUAC